UUUUUUUAAAUACAGACAAAUUAUACAUCACUUGAAAGGUUUUUUCAAGACAAAUUCAAUGGUGAAGACCAAAUUACAAUUGGAGCACCAUAACUGAAGAUAUGGCCUCUUAAAGGGACGCUAUACGCGGAACUUUUCUGCCACCCAAGACAAGUACCCAUUGGGUGGCAGAUCUACAGAUCUGAGAAUGCGAGAUCAGACAGCUGGAGCUGCAACAGUAGCUAGAAAUGUACUCCACUGCUUAGAAUUAUAGAAUAUAUUAACAUUAAAAAUAUUGGAAUAUAUAAAGUUAAAAAGCAAGUCUCUGACAUUAUCUGAAUUUCUACUACAUUU